ACUCCCAACUCUACCCACUGGCUGGUCAGGACUGAACACAGACGGUGCACCAUGGAGUCUGGGCUGAGCUGGCUUCUCCUCAUUGCUCUGUUACAAGGUGUCCAGUGUGAGGUGAAGCUGGUGGAGUCUGGGGGAGGCUUGGUCCAGCCUGGGGGCUCCCUGAGACUCUCCUGUGCAGCCUCUGGAUUCACCUUCACGGAUUACAGCAUGAACUGGGUCCGCCAGGCUCCAGGGAAGGGGCUGGAGUGGGUGGCAGAAGUGAGUCAACCAUCUGGAAGCAAGCAGUGGUACUCUCCAUCAGUACAAGGGAGAUUCACAAUCGCCAGAGACAACCCUACAAACACAGUCUCCCUUGAAAUGACUAAUCUGAAAGCCGAGGACACAGCCUUGUAUUACUGCACGAGGGACACAGCGAGGGGACCCCAGUGUGAGCCCAGACAGGAACCUCCUGCGGAGCGGGGCCGCCAGGGGGCGUCCGGCACACAGGCGCGGAGUCACCCAGGGCAGGUGCAGAGAUGCUCAGUCCUGGUUUUCUCUGGAGUUCUAGGGCUCUGUCUGCAUCUUAGUGUUUCCCCUGAGAGCCUCCCAGUGGAGUCACAAGAUUUACAACUUUAUUCCCACCAGCAAAGUCCCGACACUUGA